UACGUAGGGUGCGAGCGUUGUCCGGAGUUAUUGGGCGUAAAGAGCUCGUAGGCGGUGUGUCACGUCGGCCGUGAAACCUGCAGCUUAACUGUGGGCGUGCGGUCGAUACGGGCAUCACUGGAGUUCGGCAGGGGAGACUGGAAUUCCUGGUGUAGCGGUGAAAUGCGCAGAUAUCAGGAGGAACACCGGUGGCGAAGGCGGGUCUCUGGGCAACAACUGACGCUGAGGAGCGAAAGCGUGGGGAGCGAACAGG
rnacentral:rRNA from 1 species